rnacentral:rRNA from 1 species
UGGGGAAUAUUGCACAAUGGGCGCAAGCCUGAUGCAGCCAUGCCGCGUGUGUGAAGAAGGCCUUCGGGUUGUAAAGCACUUUCAGCGGGGAGGAAGGCGAUAAGGUUAAUAACCUUGUCGAUUGACGUUACCCGCAGAAGAAGCACCGGCUAACUACGUGCCAGCAGCCGCGGUAAUACGGAGGGUGCAAGCGUUAAUCGGAAUUACUGGGCGUAAAGCGCACGCAGGCGGUCUGUCAAGUCGGAUGUGAAAUCCCCGGGCUCAACCUGGGAACUGCAUUCGAAACUGGCAGGCUAGAGUCUUGUAGAGGGGGGUAGAAUUCCAGGUGUAGCGGUGAAAUGCGUAGAGAUCUGGAGGAAUACCGGUGGCGAAGGCGGCCCCCUGGACAAAGACUGACGCUCAGGUGCGAAAGCGUGGGGAGCAAACAGG